GUGGGGCCCCGAGGUACCAACAAGACUUAGAAAUUCCAAAAUGGCUGCCAUUGCCAUGGAAACAGAAGAAAUGUUUAACAUUGGCCCUAUGGGAAAACACAUAAAAGCUGUAUUUUCUUUUAGAAUUUUGGAUGAAACCUACUGAAACUUUAUGGAUAUGUACCAUGGCAUAUGACAAUACCUUAUCUGUCUUAGGAAUUUAGGUAGUGCUUCU
rnacentral:lncRNA from 1 species